ACAAAGCCCAGAUCUGUAUUUUGUCACCCUGCUGCACCAGCUGGAAUCCCUUGUCGCUGGGCUAACAGCUGUGAGCAAUCACCUGGCCACCAGGAAACCUCCCCAGCUGGGACCUUUCUGAGAGUCUGUGCCAGACGUACGACAUCUGUGAGCCUGCUCGGGGGAGAAUCCAGUUACUCGGCUCAGUUCCAGCCCCAGUGGUCAUGGGGAAGAACCAGGAGGCAGAGUGAAAACAGAAAAUGGGCUGCUUUGCUUUUCUCAGUUUCCAGCUCAGCUCAUCAGAUCUCCAUUUCCCCGUUUCAUAAUGGAAGUUGGCAGGCAAGACUGGAACCAAAAGAGGCCCCUCAUGGUGGCAGUUGGUGAAGCCCACCGCUCUCAGAUUCCACAAGGAUAAAAGAAUGCAUGCAAAUUUUUGAACUGGGAGUCAUUUUGACUGAGGAUUUAUAGAGAUAUCAACAGGCAAAUUCUCUUCAAUUUAAACACAAGAACUUUUGUCCAAAUGAAAUACUUCAAAGGAUUGGAGAUUGAAGUAACCCUUUGAUGAAACCUAAAAACUAUUGGAAAUAUUUAAAUACUGAGGUUAAAAUUACAUUGGAGAUAAAAUCUGAUUUCCUGUUUCUAAGUCUAAAAGCUUCCAAUAAGGACCCUGGAGUUUCUUGGAAUAAUACACAGAUCUUCUAAGACAGCAACUGGAUGAGGAAUUAGUCCUGAAAUUAAUAUUAAUCAAUGGCAAGGAAGAGCAGAACAGAGGAUGGUCCUGUGAUGGAUGGUCACAACUUCUCCCUGCUGUGAUCUCUCUCCUUCAGAAAUGACUAUUUCCAUUACUUUUAUCCAUUUGCCGUGUUUGGAAGACUGCCUGUGAGUGACUUAGGAUGGCCCU